CUACGGGUCGCUGCAGUGGGGAAUAUUGCACAAUGGACGAAAGUCUGAUGCAGCAACGCCGCGUGGAGGAUGACACAUUUCGGUGCGUAAACUCCUUUUAUAUAGGAAGAUAAUGACGGUACUAUAUGAAUAAGCGCCGGCUAACUCCGUGCCAGCAGCCGCGGUAAUACGGAGGGCGCAAGCGUUACUCGGAAUCACUGGGCGUAAAGAGCGUGUAGGCGGAUUAAAAAGUCAGAAGUGAAAUCCUAUAGCUUAACUAUAGAACUGCUUCUGAAACUCUUAAUCUAGAAUAUGGGAGAGGUAGAUGGAAUUUCUGGUGUAGGGGUAAAAUCCGUAGAGAUCAGAAGGAAUACCGAUUGCGAAGGCGAUCUACUAGAACAUUAUUGACGCUGAGACGCGAAAGCGUGGGGAGCAAACAGGAUUAGAUACCCGUGUAGUC
rnacentral:rRNA from 1 species